rnacentral:rRNA from 1 species
CAGCCGCCGCGGGAAAACGAAGGGUGCAAGCGUUACUCGGAAUUACUGGGCGUAAAGCGUGCGUAGGUGGUGGUUUAAGUCCGUUGUGAAAGCCCUGGGCUCAACCUGGGAAUUGCAGUGGAUACUGGGUCACUAGAGUGUGGUAGAGGAUAGUGGAAUUUCCGGUGUAGCAGUGAAAUGCGUAGAGAUCGGAAGGAACAUCUGUGGCGAAGGCGACUAUCUGGGCCAACACUGACACUGAGGCACGAAAGCGUGGGGAGCAAACAGGAUUAGAGACCCUCGUAGUCCCUGUCUCUUAUAC